GUGCUCACUUCGGCAGCAUAUGUACUAAAAUUGGAAUGAUACGGAGAAGAUUAGCAUGGCCCCCACACAAGGAUGAAACAACCCACAUACCCACAUACCCACAAAUAU